AUUCAAUAUUCCCUCCUCCUCCAUCAACCUCUGCCUGUUUUCACACAUAUUGAAUAAACAAGCUUAGUGGGGACAUAUCACACACCAUGUCGUGGUUCCUUAUGGGGACCAAUGCUAGACCAAGUCUCUAGGUUGUCAGAUACUUAACACACAGUUUCUAUUCAUACAAUGAUGUAAGAUGUGCUAUGGGGACGUCGUGAAUGUCCCAGAAUAGAGUGAUAUUUUAUCAAAAGUAACAUCCCUAUGAACAUUAAAAUCUGUCCUGAAUAUCCUAUUACCAUUAUGUUUCUAGAUGCAUUUAAAAAAACAGCUUAUUUACCUGCUUAAAGGGCAUAAAAAGCAACAAACGGUGAGUUAGAAAUAUUCUAGGAGUAAAGUUUAAGUGCUAAACAUGAAUGUACCUGUUGAUUAGUGUCUCAUGGACUCAAAGUUUCAGUCAUCUGCGUCUCUAACAAGACAGCAUGCUGGGAGCUUUCCACAGGAAUGACAGCAUCAGCUGCAUUCAUGGUCAUCUGCAAACAUUUCAAAAUAUGAAAAACAAGUUUAAGUCUGAUGUUAUCACUGCAUAAUAUUUAGUUACACUAAUGCAUGUUCUUAAUGACAAAUUUCUAAAGUUAAAUUCAAGCCAACAGGCACGAAACUUCAACGACAAAAUCAUCAAAUUCAAUAUUCCCUCCUCCUCCAUCAACCUCUGCCUGUUUUCACACAUAUUGAAUAAACAAGCUUAGUGGGGACAUAUCACACACCAUGUCGUGGUUCCUUAUGGGGACCAAUGCUAGACCAAGUCUCUAGGUUGUCAGAUACUUAACACACAGUUUCUAUUCAUACACUGAUGUAAGAUGUGCUAUGGGGACGUCGUGAAUGUCCCAGAAUAGAGUGAUAUUUAAUCAAAAGUAACAUCCCUAUGAACAUUAAAAUCUGUCCUGAAUAUCCUAUUACCAUUAUGUUUCUAGAUGCAUUUAAAAAAACAGCUUAUUUACCUGCUUAAAGGGCAUAAAAAGCAACAAACGGUGAGUUAGAAAUAUUCUAGGAGUAAAGUUUAAGUGCUAAACAUGAAUGUACCUGUUGAUUAGUGUCUCAUGGACUCAAAGUUUCAGUCAUCUGCGUCUCUAACAAGACAGCAUGGUGGGAGCUUUCCACAGGAAUGACAGCAUCAGCUGCAUUCAUGGUCAUCUGCAAACAUUUCAAAAUAUGAAAAACAAGUUUAAGUCUGAUGUUAUCACUGCAUAAUAUUUAGUUACACUAAUGCAUGUUCUUAAUGACAAAUUUCUAAAGUUAAAUUCAAGCCAACAGGCACGAAACUUCAACGACAAAAUCAUCAAAUUCAAUAUUCCCUCCUCCUCCAUCAACCUCUGCCUGUUUUCACACAUAUUGAAUAAACAAGCUUAGUGGGGACAUAUCACACACCAUGUCGUGGUUCCUUAUGGGGACCAAUGCUAGACCAAGUCUCUAGGUUGUCAGAUACUUAACACACAGUUUCUAUUCAUACACUGAUGUAAGAUGUGCUAUGGGGACGUCGUGAAUGUCCCAGAAUAGAGUGAUAUUUAAUCAAAAGUAACAUCCCUAUGAACAUUAAAAUCUGUCCUGAAUAUCCUAUUACCAUUAUGUUUCUAGAUGCAUUUAAAAAAACAGCUUAUUUACCUGCUUAAAGGGCAUAAAAAGCAACAAACGGUGAGUUAGAAAUAUUCUAGGAGUAAAGUUUAAGUGCUAAACAUGAAUGUACCUGUUGAUUAGUGUCUCAUGGACUCAAAGUUUCAGUCAUCUGCGUCUCUAACAAGACAGCAUGGUGGGAGCUUUCCACAGGAAUGACAGCAUCAGCUGCAUUCAUGGUCAUCUGCAAACAUUUCAAAAUAUGAAAAACAAGUUUAAGUCUGAUGUUAUCACUGCAUAAUAUUUAGUUACACUAAUGCAUGUUCUUAAUGACAAAUUUCUAAAGUUAAAUUCAAGCCAACAGGCACGAAACUUCAACGACAAAAUCAUCAAAUUCAAUAUUCCCUCCUCCUCCAUCAACCUCUGCCUGUUUUCACACAAAUUGAAUAAACAAGCUUAGUGGGGACAUAUCACACACCAUGUCGUGGUUCCUUAUGGGGACCAAUGCUAGACCAAGUCUCUAGGUUGUCAGAUACUUAACACACAGCUUCUAUUCAUACACUGAUGUAAGAUGUGCUAUGGGGACGUCGUGAAUGUCCCAGAAUAGAGUGAUAUUUAAUCAAAAGUAACAUCCCUAUGAACAUUAAAAUCUGUCCUGAAUAUCCUA